rnacentral:rRNA from 1 species
CGAACGGGUGAGUAACACGUGGGUGAUCUGCCCUGCACUCUGGGAUAAGCCUGGGAAACUGGGUCUAAUACCGGAUAGGACCAUGCUUUAGUGUGUGUGGUGGAAAGUUUUUCGGUGUAGGAUGAGCCCGCGGCCUAUCAGCUUGUUGGUGGGGUAAUGGCCUACCAAGGCAACGAUGCGUAGCCGACCUGAGAGGGUGAUCGGCCACACUGGAACUGAGACACGGUCCAG